AGGGCUGUAGCUCAGUGGUAGAGCACUCGUCUCACAUAUGUGAGGCCCUGGGUUUGAACCUCAGCAACACAU
rnacentral:tRNA from 1 species